rnacentral:miRNA from 1 species
AACGAGGGGUAUUCCACAAAAAAUUACCCUGAGGGAUGAAAUAUGCCGAGGGCGAAGCCCGAGGAAUAUUUCAUCCCGCAGGGUAAUUUUUUGUGGAAUACCCCGA